UUCUGUCCUCCUCUACACAUACCUAUCCAAGCUCGCGCGCCUCUUAUGUGCGCUCUCACCGUGUCGUUUUUUUUCGUGCGAAACAGCGGGAGGGAGCAGGCGGUGUUGGUUCUGGUCUCGCCGGUGGCCAGCUUUUUUGGCCUACUCUGUCGGGGCACCAUGUCUGACAUUGACGCUGGUUGUGGUGACGAUGAUUUAAGUUCAGACUCUAAUUCUGAGUUCUCCGAUUUCGUCCCUGCUAAUUGGCAUGGAGCUGCAAAUGCUGGUGGUCCAGCAGCAGCAAAUGCAGAGGAAGCUCGUCUUGGUCUUCUUUCUAGUCGGUUCGGCGACGAAUCAACAGUUCGACAACCUGCCUUGCAAGGGGUGUGUCCUCGUCCAGUGUGCGUUCAACGAUAUUAGAUUCUCAUCGGCUGUGGUGAGCGACCCACGCGGCUAAUCAAAACCUAUAAGGUUAGUCCAGCUUAUGCAACUUUGGUCUUCUGCAAUUUCAUCACCGGAGACAUGGAGAGUUUUCAACAUACCGAUGACGAAUCAAGAGUUGUUUACUUCAAAGAAUCUUGAUGUAACUUUUAGUUUCAUUAGGGUUUUUUGUUGUUGGUUUUCGUUACAAUUUCAAUCACUUGUACUUUGUUUAUUGAAUCAA